UGAGGAAUUUUGCGCAAUGGGGGGAACCCUGACGCAGCAACGCCGCGUGGGUGAUGAAGGCCUUCGGGUCGUAAAGCCCUGUCGGGCGGGAAGAACGUCCCUUCGGGGAAUGACGGUACCGCCAGAGGAAGCACCGGCUAACUCCGUGCCAGCAGCCGCGGUAAUACGGAGGGUGCAAGCGUUAUUCGGAAUUACUGGGCGUAAAGGGCGGGCAGGCGGGAGGGCAAGGCGGAUGUGAAAGCCCGGGGCUUAACCCCGGAAGGGCAUUGGAAACUGCUUUUCUUGAGUUCUGGAGAGGAAGGGAGAAUUCCCGGUGUAGAGGUGAAAUGCGUAGAGAUCGGGAGGAACAUCAGUGGCGAAGGCGCCCUUCUGGACAGCAACUGACGCUGAGACGCGAAAGCGUGGGGAGCAAACA
rnacentral:rRNA from 1 species